rnacentral:rRNA from 1 species
AAUCAACGCUGGCGGCGUGCCUAACACAUGCAAGUCGAACGCGAGAGGGGCUUCGGCCCCGAUUGAGUGGCGAACGGGUGAGUAACGCGUGGGUGACCUACCUUCGAGUGGGGGAUAACGUCCCGAAAGGGACGCUAAUACCGCAUAACAUCCUGCUUUUGAAUGGGUGGAGAUCAAAGCCGGGGAUCGCAAGACCUGGCGCUUGAUGAGGGGCCCGCGUCUGAUUAGCUAGNGGUGAGGUAACGGCCCACCAAGGCAACGAUCAGUAUCCGGCCUGAGAGGGCGGACGGACACACUGGGACUGAGACACGGCCCAGACUCCUACGGGAGGCAGCAGUGGGGAAUUGUUCGCAAUGGGCGCAAGCCUGACGACGCAACGCCGCGUGGAGGAUGAAGGUCUUCGGAUUGUAAACUCCUGUUGCCCGGGACGAAUGGCUCCGACCUAACACGUCGGAGUGUGACGGUCCGGGUGAGGAAGCCCGGCUAACUCUGUGCCAGCCGCCGCCGU